GAAAAAGUUACAAGAACUGCUAACUCUUGACUCCAUACUUAACCAGUGUGGCUUUUU
rnacentral:tRNA from 1 species